AACUUGGGUGCUUUGACCAAGCUUGUUGGUCUGUUCCGCCCAGUACCUGUUACUCAGGGAUGAGCCAGUACUUGGAGCUGCACAGACCCAGCGAAACAGGAAGGUACUUGGUGGAUCUCCCGCCCCUGGGCAGAUCUUCCAAGAACAGCUGUGUUGGAAGAGUGGCCUGGAAGGGCAUAGUGAGUCUUGGGAAGGCAGUUAAGACUGGUCUCAUCCAGCAGGGUGUACUUCUGUGCUUAAAUAUUUCUUGGCUGCUCCAUCAACAGACACAUGUUCUGCAUGGAAAAGGAGUUGUCCUCCACACAACUGACAGAGCAGCGUGUAGCAGCGUGUCAGCUUUGAGCUGUGUGAUUAAAGGAGGCCAGAAGGAGGAGGUGCUGGAAUUCCUGCCCCAGUUGUAUGGCAUGGUUAGGGCAUUUCCAUAAUGUUGGUUCCUUCUGUAAGAAGAGAACACUGGGUACCAGGGAUCCUGACGUUCAUGCGUGAAGGUGAGGGAAUUCCUAUUCUUUGCAAAAAAUUAAUGACAGCAUGUGUGGGCAUAAUAUAUGGCUGCUCAGCAACUGAAAAAUUGCUGAUUUAUAACUUACUCUCUUGCAGUUGUGUACAAGAAUGAUUUAAAUUUGCACUUUAGGCAGUUUACAAAGUGCAGGACCGACCACUUAUACACUGUCUUUUUCCCUGAGCAAGUCACUGUAACUAACCAGAUUAUCAUUUAGUGAUAAAAUGUAUUUAUAUAACUGGAAAACCAAGGUAGAUGUAAAUGUGUUAAUGUUUUAUGAGAGCUAGGACAUGCUGGAUCUUUUCAGAAUUAUCCAAAGAAAAUCACAGAUGUGGUCUUUGGAGUUGGGUUCAUCCUUAUAACAUACAGCAGGAUGACUUUUGAGAGGAAUUUCAUAAUAAGAGACUUCAAUCUCUGGAGACCUAAACUGAAAUGAUAAAAGCAAUUGUUUUAAUACACCCACAGGUUGUGAUGCUGUUAUGCUGAUUUGCACCACAAUGCCAAGGACCCUGCUUUAAUAACAAUAAUGUCUUCGUUAGACCACUGGCUUAGUGGCUGCCUUUUAAGAUAUAGUGGAUAAAUGAGGGAUUUGGGAGCAAGUAAAGCGAAUUAGCUUGGUCAGCAUAUCCUUGAAUGGUUACCACUUCUCUUUGAACUCACAGCUGCAGAGGUGGGGGAACUUGGAAGAGGCAAAAUGGAAAAUUGCAUGGUACUUAGAUCCUUUACAAGCUCCUUUUGUCAUCCUGUCAGUGACAAAAGACUGAUUUAUUCCCUCAUCUGUUAAACUCCAGGCAAUACAAUCAUCACCGUAGUCAUGAUGUGUCAAUGCCAUUUUUAUUUUUCAUCAUUCACAGCACAGAGACCAUUGUCACUGACACCAACAUCUUUCUGGUUUUCUCCUGCUUCUCCUAACACAUUGCGUUCAGAAGGCAGAAUAUGGUGUCAGGGUGCCAGAGGAAUUUGGUCUAGAGAUCCCAGAGAUUAUUCCACUCUGCUUCUAGGAGCAUUGAGUACCAGUGGCAGAGAUUAUGGUGACACUGGUGAAAACAGAGGCAUUUUUUACUUUGUUGAGACUGCUGUAGCUUUUUUGGAAUCAAAUGGGAACUCUAAAAAAUUGGUUUUUUGGUGUCCUCCUAAUUUUCUUCCAUUGCACACCCCACAAUGCAUGGGUAGGUGUACCCAAUUUUUCCACUGCCCAAUCUCUCUACUCCUGUAGAGGGUAGGCUGGCAAGUUUUUGCAACCAA